GUAUACCUGAUCUUCAAUGGUCUGCUCGGUUUCGAUAUGCCUCUGUAACUCCACUUGAGGUUCGUUGAAAGCAUGAUAAUGUCUAAUGUGACUGGGAUAAUUGUGGUUAAUGGCUCAAUACGUAAGUUGUUGAAGAGUGGUAGAGACCUCGAUGACUCUUGUAUAUUGGACUUGAUGUAGAUGUCUGGAGCUGUGGUGUAAUUUUAUACACUUUUCUCUGAGGCACUCUUCCUUUUGAUGAUGAAAAUAUUCCUAACCUCUUCAAGAAAAUCAAGGUUAUAUGUGGGAUGAGUGGACACCUAGGACCUGCAUGUAACGCUGUAGGGCAUGUGGAUAGACAAGUUUGGGGGCUUAACCAUCUUUAUUCUCAACCUGUUUGGACACGCUUGAAGAUAGGCAUGCAGAUUUAGUUCUCGAGACGAAGGUCAUUUUCGUGAAGAUGCUCCAAGUUGGUGUCGCGCUCCUUUUGAACCCAAGGGCUUGUUGAGCCAAAGAAACUUGAAGUUACUGCAGCUACAACCCAUCGGUUACUCAGCUAGCACCACCUCCCCAACCUAAACUCCAGGUGGAUUGGUUCACAGUCCUCUUUGAUUGUUUCUCCGACUUCAAAAAUUGUUGCAUAACUUGCUGGUGUCCAAGUGUCACCUUUGACCAAGUUGCAGAAAUUGUUGACAAGGGAUCAACCUUUAAGAAACUUGAAGUUCAAUUGUUAUAUAUACAUAUGAUAUGAUUUUGAAUAUGAAAGCGAAAUUCACUUUAAUUAGAGGUUGGUGUAUAUGAUAUGAUAUGAUGAAUGAGGCUAAUUAAUUUUUUUAUUUUGUGAUUUGAAGCAUGUGGUGCUAGUGGAGCUCUGUAUAUUAGUUUAGAUGCUUGCAAUUUGUAUUUGUAUUUUUGGUUUUGUUUUCCUAUGAAUUGCUAUUAUGCAUCAUUUAUGUACCCAAAAAAAAAUUAGAAUUUUGAU